rnacentral:lncRNA from 1 species
GGAAAAUCCACCCACUCAUGAGGGUGGUGACAGCUUUGUAUACAAACUCUUGCUGCCCGCGAUACUGAGAUUGUGGAGGCUGAAAGACUGCAAGUGCUUGACGGGCAGGACUUUGACGAGAGCCAACAGGGAGCAGGAUUGGGUGGAUGUCUCUGGAGCUCACAUACAAGUGUUUCACAUCUACUAAGAUGUCCUGAAGUGUUCUAGACAUGGCAUAGGAUGACUGGAAGAUCUGAGGCUUCUGGAGUGACAAUUACGUGUUGGUUGGGAUGAUGUGCCAUAGCCAGAACAACAUGAAGUGCCCGUGUUGUGCCAACUAAACCACCUUCCUGCAGUGACAUGUGUAAGAGACUGCAAGUUUCAAAAGAGAAGAAAAAGUUGCUUUCCAUGAGAAACUAAAGAUUCGGCAUCUUGCAGGCAGUCAGAGGGACAGAAAACAUGGCUGAAAGAAGACGCACCAGCUUUGAUACCGACGAAAGUAUGGGCACAUCCUUUGGACCAAGUUCUCCAAGGGAUUUGUACCAUGCAGACAUCAGGUGGACCAUGAUAGGACUUCCGAGUCAGCAAGAAAGAUGCUUGUUGAAGAUGGAAGCAUCAGAAAGACUUGACCCACUCAAGGGGAAACUCUCCACUGGGGAGAGGAUCGUACCUGCACAACCAGUGGAGAGAAAUGAGCAGCCAUGGGGGGUGAGUCACACAAAAUUUGAAGCCUGUUUCAUGCCAGUUUCUCUGUACCAACUAUUACAUUGGCUGAGGUUGACUAGUUCAGAUUCAGAUGUCUAA